CGGUGGGGGUUGGGCAGGGUGGCCUGGCUAGGUAGUCCUGGCAGAACUGGAGCUUGCUGUGCAGUCUGGCCUACCAUAUUCCUUUCCUUGCAGCCCUCCCCCCUAGUCCAAGGACAAAGCGAAAUCCCAGUGCCUCUUCCUUCCCACAUUCUCCUUGUUCCUUUUACUUAAAAGGGGCCAAGAAUCCAUUUCAAAACAUUGUAUAAUUGUUCACUUUUCCGGGUUCCUAGAUCUUACUGGCAAGAACCACAGUAAACUAAAUGUUUCCUGCAAUGCUACUGAAAGUGUGGCCCAGUGCCAACUCAAGUUUGAUGCCAUCGAUACUAAGAUAAGCACCACAAUGGGGAAUGUGUAGUAACUGCAAUACCAAGCAACCAAGUGGGUGAAUUCUGGGCCGCUUGUAUUUGAGGUUUUCCUUCAGAACCACUUGCUGCUUCUCCACCCACCCACAUCCAGCCAGCAGAUCCUUCCUCCGACAACAUCAAACCAGAAGGGAAGUCAAGGAAGAGUGCACGUGGGAGAUCUGAUUUCUAAUUCUGCUCAGCCAGUACACCCAAUGCUGGCAAUCAUGGCCUUUUCCAUUGAGGGCAAGAGGGAAGAGGAGAAAAAAGAGAACGAUGGAGCCAGGUGUGGUAGCGCAUGCCUUUAAUCCCAGCAUUCGGGAGGCAGAGGUAAGAGGAUUGCCAUGCAUUCAAGGCCAGCUUGAGACUACACAGUGAAUUCCAGAUCAGCCUGAGCUAGAGUGAGACCCUACCUUGGGGGGAGGAGGGAGGGAAUAAAAGGGAACAACGGGCGUCUCCUCUCACCCACAACUACACAAACGCCGAAACUGAGCAUGAGCUCUGAGAGCCAUUUCAAAGGAAGAGCCUGAGA